GAUGAACGCUGGCGGCGUGCCUAAUACAUGCAAGUCGAGCGAACAGACGAGGAGCUUGCUCCUCUGACGUUAGCGGCGGACGGGUGAGUAACACGUGGAUAACCUACCUAUAAGACUGGGAUAACUUCGGGAAACCGGAGCUAAUACCGGAUAAUAUAUUGAACCGCAUGGUUCAAUAGUGAAAGACGGUUUUGCUGUCACUUAUAGAUGGAUCCGCGCCGCAUUAGCUAGUUGGUAAGGUAACGCCUUACCAAGGCAACGAUGCGUAGCCGACCUGAGAGGGUGAUCGGCCACACGGGAACUGAGACACGGUCAAGACUCCUACGGGAGGCAGCAGUAGGGAAUCUUCCGCAAUGGGCGAAAGCCUGACGGAGCAACGCCGCGUGAGUGAUGAAGGUCUUCGGAUCGUAAAACUCUGUUAUUAGGGAAGAACAAAUGUGUAAGUAACUAUGCACGUCUUGACGGUACCUAAUCAGAAAGCCACGGCUAACUACGUG
rnacentral:rRNA from 1 species